CAGAGUGGGUCAAUUGCGAACUCGCAGAUCGGACUGCAAAACGGCAGAAGGUAAAAUGCACACUUUCUGUGCCGGUUGAGUUCUUUUAGAAGCGCGAGUGGAACGCGAACUUGGAGACUCGAUGGAAGUCAGAACUAUUUCCUCUCAACUUGACACUCUAUAAGAGUUUCAGUUCCCGAUUUAGCUGCUUGGCCCUUGACCCUUGAAGGUUAGCCGCUAGCUAGCUGGGGAAUAACCUGGAGCACGUAGCAGCUAGCUAGCUGUUUAACGUAUAUUCCACAGGAGCUGGUAAAAUAAAGUGAGAGUGAAUACUGGAAUUAUAUAUAAUAAGCUACAAAAAAGCAAGACCUAAAUGAACGUGUCUCUAUAACAAAUGGACAAUAAACAACGGUGAACAACAUUUCAUUAAAAAAAGACUACCGUUAGUCCAGACGGCUUGGCGAACAAAUAAUUGCCGGUCGUCUUAUCAGCUGUCAAGCAAAGGUCGUGCCCCCGCCGCAGUCACACGAGGUGGGGAAUGAGUCGUGGGCCCCGGUCCUGGCUGAAAGCUGCAGGAAUGGACAUCGUCGUGAUUCAUCUCUGUCUCAUCGCCCCUGCUGGCGGGAGCUUCCACGGACGGCCGCUCUCUCUGACACUUUCUUCGCCGGCCAGCUCUCAGCCGGCGACAGGAGCCGCGCGCUAACGCGUAGGCAAGCGCUGCUGUAAAUUGAGGCACUCAGUCUUUCCCUGCACAGCUCAGACAAAUGUUUCCCACUGAAGGGUAAACCAUAAAAGCAAUUUCUUGGGCUUAUUUUUUGCUGUUUUGGCCACUAUUACAAUUGGUAAUAACAAUUAUCUUUAAAAGAUAAAAUAUUGUAUAUUUUUAUUACUGAC
ensembl:lncRNA